UACGAAGGGUGCAAACGUUGCUCGGAAUUAUUGGGCGUAAAGCGCACGUAGGCGGCUUUGCAAGUCCCAUGUGAAAUCCCACGGCUUAACCGUGGAAGUGCAUGGGAAACUGCAGAGCUUGAGUACUUAAGAGGAUCGCGGAAUUCCCGGUGUAGAGGUGAAAUUCGUAGAUAUUCGCAAGAACACCAGUGGCGAAGGCGGCUCACUGGCCCGGUACUGACGCUGAGGUGCGAAAUCGUGGGGAGCAAACAGG
rnacentral:rRNA from 1 species